ACACUUUGGCAGCACAUAUACUAAAAUUGGAACGAUACAGAGAAGAUUAGCAUGGCCCCUGCGCAAGAUUAGGAUGGCCCCUGCGCAAGGAUGACAUGCAAAAUUUUC